AUGCGCUUUAGCGAGGCAGUCUCGGGCGCCCAGCUGUCAGAGCUGUCAGCCUGCUUAAACAGGGGAAAAUGGUACAGGCAGAGCUGGUCUGGUAUCAGGAAAAAGGCUGCCUACGAUAAUCCACUGCAGGACCCUAAAAGUCUCAACCUUAGGGCCCCCUCGGACCGUCUCCAAUGUCGGGUCCCGCUGGAGAAGGAGGCAUUUCGAGAGUGUUGGGAACACCUUAUUUGUAGAAUCCACGAAGGGGCAUUUUGGAACCCAUCGAGACCUAUAGUGAAACACUGAUUAUUUCACAAUGAAAACUGAAAACAUGUUAUCUAGGAAAAUGCUUUGCGUGUGUAGAUUCUACUCAGACAGGAAAUUGGAAACUCUCCUUUGGUACAAUCGACAAAGAGAUAUUUCAAAGCCCAUUGAGGCUUAUUGUGAAAAACAGAAUAUCCAGUGAUAAAAACUUAAAAAAGGUUUGAAAUACUCUAAGACGUUUUGGAGCUCUUGGGGCCUAUAAUGAAGAAACAUAUAUCCUGCGAUGAAAACUUGAAACAAGCUACCUGUGAAAAUGCUUUGCAAUGUGUAGAUUCAUCUGACAGUUAAACCUUUGUUUUGAUUCAACAGGGGUUUGGGAACAUACUUUUUAUAUAACCUAUGAAUGGACAUUUCAGAGCCCAUUGAAGCCUAUACUGAAAAUCCAAAUAUCCUGUGAUAAAAACUAGGAGUAAGCUAUCUGUGAAAAUGCUUUGUGAGGUUUGGAUUAAUCUCACAAAUUUAAGCUGUUGCUUUGAUUCAGCAGGUUGGAAACCCUCUUUUUCUACAAUCUACUAGGGUACUAUUCGGACCAAAUUGAGGCCUAUACUGAAAAACUGAUUAUCCCGUGAUAAAAACUAGAAAAAAGCUGUCAGUAAAAAUGCUGUGCAAUAUGUCAAUUCAUGUCACAAAUUUAAACCUCUGCAUUUAUUCAGUAAGUUUGGAAUACCUUUUUGUAGAAUAUACAAAGGGACGUUUCACACCUAUAAAAGCCUAUAGUAAAAAAGUUGGAUACACUCUUGUUGUAGAAUCUACAAAGAGACAUUUCGAAGCUCAUUGAGGUCUAUAGUGAAAAACCAAAUAUCCAGUGAUAAAAACUAUAAAGAAGCUAUCUCUGAAAAUACUUUAUGAUGUGUGAUUUCAUUUCACAAGUUGAACUUUUCUUUUGAUUCAACAGCAGGUUGGAAACAUUCUUUUGUAAAAUCUACAAAGAAACAUUUUGGAGUCCAUUGAGGCCUUUAGUGAAAAACUGAAUAUUUUGCCUUGAAAACCAGAAACAAGCUAUCUGUGAAAAUGCUUUGUGAUGGAAGAUUUAUCUCACAGAGUUAAACAUUUGUAUUGAUUCAGCUGGCUGGCAACACUCUUUUUGUAAAAUCUACAAUGGGACAUUUCAGAGACCAUUGAGGUCUAUAGAAAAAGACUGAAUAUCCCGUGAUUAAAACUAGAAACAAGCUAUCCAUC
rnacentral:lncRNA from 1 species